AUGAUGGCUUUGCACGCCCGUGAUGGCUUUGCGCACACCUUCUUAAUAGUCCUAUUUAUUAAUAUAAUGUGUGAUGGAAGUAUCAGUUUGCCUGGUUUUCGUCGCACUUAUUGUAUAGCUUCCUUCUUUUAUAUUCUUAGAUGGCCUCUUGAUCCAUGGCACUGUCAUGUGAAUGCUCUGUCUUUUCAGUUACAUAGAUUCAUUAUUCAUGCCUCAGGCCUUCUACUUACUGGAAUAGGCAACAAAUGGAGGAGGGUAGACUAUAGACAUUUUCACCGUGUUGUUUCUUUCAGGAAACCAUUUUAUUAUGUACAUGGUUGUUUAAUAUCUUUAUAUUAG
rnacentral:rRNA from 1 species